AUACCGUUUUUCUUGAAAAGAAUUCAACAGUUUGUGGGAACAACCCAGAUGUCCAUCCACUAGUAAAUGGAUAAACAAAUUGUGACACAGCUCUACAAUGGAAUACUAUUCAGCAAUAAAAGAGGAUCUACUACUUACACAUGUGAAAAUUUUCGAGUCAGUUGCUCUUCAGAUUCAUUUUCCACUCUUUUCAUGAGGACCUCCUUGAGCUUGAUCACCUGGGCUCCCUACCUUCUGGCCUCCAGUUGGAAUUGAAGAAGAGAAGAGGUCAUUGUCCUGAGGGCUGGAAAGAGAGACUGGGGUAACUGAUCUCCCACUUCCUCUAUACCAGGCCAUAGUUGAGGCAAAAGAUACUUCCUACAUCCUUUAGUAUUAUUCCCUUUGGGUAGCUUCUCUUCCAGAGCUACAGCUCUCCUUGCAUUCUGCCUACUCUGUCCCCUUCAGGCAUACCAGCUGUUAGUCACUGCUAGUCCCUGGGUCUUUUACCCCUUUCCACACUUUGGGGAAAAGUGUACUCAUGAAAAUUAUCUUCAUUUAAUAAUUUUAUUUCUUUUUCCUGUUGGAACCCUAUGUGAUACAGAGAUGAAGGACAGAGCAAUAGCUAGAGCUUAAAUAACAAAUUCUAUGCUAGGCCAUAAACAAAUAGGAGAGGAUUUACUCAAAGAAAUUAUGUCAGAUCAAUAGUCAGGUUAUAUUUACUGUAGCCAAAGUCCUUGGAGGUAUUUAUGCAAUAGUAAACACCUAAACGGAAUCGUGAAAAUUGACAGGAACUAAAUCUAAUAGGAUACAGGUUGAAUCCAAUAGCAUUUAGAAAAGAAUGAAAGAGAAUUAUAUACAAUGAUUGAAUUGAAAUAAAAAAUUCUUAAUAAAUAGUUCUCUGUAGGAA
rnacentral:lncRNA from 13 species